CUGGUUUGGAGCAGGUUGGUAUAAUGCUGGUUGGCAGGAUAAAGCAGGGUUGUAAAGCAGUUCAGGUUGGUAAUGGAGCAGGUUGGCAACAAAAGGUAGAUAACGAAGAUCAGGUUUGUUUCCAAUAGGCAAGUAGCAGAGAAGGUAAGUCCAUAGGAACUAUUAUAGGAGCCAGGAACUGAAGUCUUUCAGGAUGAGCAUCAACUUCAUUGUAAAGGCAAUAUGGUGAGUUGGGUGUAGCCUUUUGUAG